ACGCAGCACCCGAUCCAUGAGAUGCUGAAACGUGGCCGGGGCCCCAAACAAGUGUGGUAAAUUGGUACAAACCGUACGGGGUGGAGAAUGCCGUUUUCUCCUUGGACUCUGGCGACAGAGGAAUCUGCCAGUAGCCCUUGGUUAAAUCCAGUGUCGUGAAGAAACGUGCAGUGCCUAGCCGGUCCAGGAGUUCGUCGACCCGGGGCAUUGGGUAAGCAUCGAACCGUGACACGUCAUUCACCCUGCAAUAGUCCACGCAGAACCGUACAGAUCCAUCCUUCUUAGCCACAAGGACGAUGGGGCUGCACCAGGCACUGUUGGACUCUUCUAUUACCCCCAACUCCAACAUACUAGCCAAUUCCCUCCGAACCACUUCUUUCCACUGCUUCAAUUGAUCAAAUGUCUGAAGUGUAUUCCCAUACACAUUCACACACAUAAUAAAACUAGUUUUAUAUGGUCAUCUACACAUACAUAUUAUACAUAAGCUUAUACGCAUGAAUAGGAUAUAUGAACUGUAUCAAUUUGAUUCUUUUGGCUUGUUUUUAUUUACAUACUCUGAAAGAGUUGAGAUCAUGAUUCUCAUUGGAGGAUGAUGCAUGCAUGAAGCGUCAUGAAAGAAGGCACAUUUAAAGAAAUAUAAUCGGAUUAGAGUAACGAGGCACUUAAAAUGAGCCUAUACAUUUUACCAACACGCAUUUAACGUUAACUUGUCUGCGAUACUUUGUUGGGCUUGUAGCCUCGCUACAAGGAGCGGUGUCAGUUUUUGCCAUGACUAUAAUUAAUUUCAUAUCGCACAUUUGCCUGAGGUCUUUACAGUCUGUACACAUGUGACAUCCUCUGUCCCGAAACCCUCAGCACAGGACAAACUCCCCAAACAAUGACAAGCCCUUUAAAGGUUUCUUCCCUUUAUUCUCCCCAUCAGAGAGACACAGGAGUAUCCUCCCCGGGAUGGACAGACUGAGAUGGACUUACUGAAUGAACAACGUAAAAUAUGUAUAAUACGUUCAAUUCAUGCGACAAAUGAUUCAAAUUAACAUCUCAUCAUAUGAGUGGAGAAAAGUGUAUUUGCUGUUAUACUGUUAAAAUAUCCUGGUUUUCGGUGAUCGAUUCUUCCGCAUUCCCUGAUGACUGACAGCUGGUUCAAACUAACGAGACUGUCCCCCUCACACCUGAAACCCAUCAGGGUAUGACGACCUGAAGGCCUUCAUAAGGGUGGGAGACACACCAUUGAGGGGAAGAGAGAGAUGAGCUGCAGGUUCGGCCUGAUGCAAAAGACCAGACCAAUACAGGGACUGAGAAGACGAGGCAUUAUUUAAGUUUUACCGGCGAAGAGCGACCGAAGCCCAAGUUGCAGGCUGGCCUUCAGCGAAACAAACUACCUGGGGUACACCAUUGAAAGGGGUUUGGUCAAGCCCCAGGAAGCCAAGUUGCGGGCCAUACAGGACUGGCCACAGCCCAUCACCAAGAAACAGGUGGUCAUUUUUAGGCCUAGCCGGCUACUAUCCACGUUUUAUUAUGGAUUUUGCUACCAUAGCAGCCCCUCUAACAGAACUGACUCCCUCUGAGGCUCACUGAAUGGUGAGGUGGAACCCUGCGGCGGAGGCGGCCUUCAGCAACCUGAAGCGAGCUCUGUGCUCUGGUCCAGUCCUGGUGGCACCAGACUUCCAGAAGGAAUUAAUCGUCCAGGCGGACGCUUCAGAGGGCUGGCAAGAGCCACAGCAAUGCGGAUGCGCUCUCCAGACGUGACGCCUUCUGCACCUCCUUCACCCCGACGAGGACGUCAGUCUCGAGGGGGGGUGUGUGUGAUGUCACGAGAGGCUGGGUCUUGGAAGGGAGACUUUUCCCUGCACAGUUUGAAGAAUGCCAAGGGGUCCCAGGGCCACUGUCCUACCUGAAAGGCAGGGGAGGAGAUGAGAUGGGGAGCGACUGGAGAAAGCCGCAGGGCAAGAAGAGCGGAGACGUUCAGGGGCAACGGGCAAAGGAGGACUGGGAGGUGAGCGGGAGUUAAAUUAGGUUCCGUCUGCCUGUGCCUCCCCUUGGUGAUUGAAGAGAUGAGCAGAAUAACCAUUUAAUUGUGAAUCUAUUUCUUGUGUGAAUUUAUCAAUGAUAUUGUCUUAAAAAUCACAGAUAGAUCCUGGAAAUGUUGAAUUUUUACAUUUUGUCACCUAGUUUUUUUCGCCCUGUUCACCUAUCCACUAACUCUAUAGUCCUUUCAGAUCCAUUCUCCGCCCCAGUGAACACUUGCGUGCACUUCCCUCACUUGAUACUCCCGCCCUGCUCACCUGCAGCUCGUUCCCACAUUACUCAUUCACUAUUUAGGUUCACUCACUUGCACCUGCCUCUUGCCACAUUGUAUUGUGUCCCUGCCAAGUUCUUCAGCAUGACAUUGCAGUCUGUCUCUGACCUUUUUCCUCUGACCCCUGGCUGCUGUUUUUUUACCUUCAAUUCUCUGCCUGCUCCUUUUCUUUGGUUUGCCUGUGUGACUGAUAUCCUGGUUUGCACCCUGCCUGUCAACCAAGCAAACCCACUUUGACAUAUUGUGCAUUUGGGUCAGACUACAGCUUAAACUUAGGUUUGUUUAUUCAAACACAAAUUUAACAGACCCUUGAUGUUCACACACCUCAUUUUCUUUUGCAUGUUUGUAAAAUGACCAGAAUAUCUUAUCGCUAUUGAAGAAGAAAAAGCAGACAACCACAGUUCGCUGUUGAUUUGACAAAGAAUGUUUGAUGUUUAUAUAAAAAAAAUGGAAAUUGAGCAAUCUGGGAUCCUGUCUACGAGAAGGGUCUCUUUUACCAGCUCCAGCAGACAAAGGCCCCACUCACACACCUUUUGUCUUAUUACCGUAAAUAGCCGGCGGGCUAGCUAACGCCCUGAGGAAGAUCCUCCAUUUGAGUGUCUUCCACUACCAAGGACCCGAUUUAAUGGUGAUAAGAGGUGGUGAAAUGGUUCAAACAUAAUACCUAAGUUAACACUGACAUUUAAAAAAACGAAAACAUUCCACUUGAAUGUUUGUACAGUCAGCUACAGACCGUGGAUCACUUUACCUGUGGACAGAACAGGAUAGCAGCUUUCCUAUUCGAAGUGCAGUGCUCAGAUCAGCUGGCCGGAUACAACAAUGUUAGAAUACAACAACACACAGGAAUACGGUGGAUAUACCGUAAAUCACAGACUAUAGAGCGCACCUGAAUAUAUGCAGCACCACCUAAAUUUAGAACGAAAAAAAGAUGUGCACAUAUAUACGCACCGGCCUAUAAACCGCAAGUGUCCACUCCAGUGACGUGCGGUCGCUGGAGGCAGUGCCUCCCCUUGUGUCAUCAUGAAAUAUGAAAAAAAAAAAUGUAUAUAUAUAUUUGUCCACUGAUCUGUGAUAGAUUAGAUUCAACUUUAUUGUCAUUGCACAAGUACUGAGGCAACGAAAUGCAGUUUAACAUCCAACCAGAGUGCAAAAUAGCAAAAAAUGUGCCAGUGUAAUUAUUAUGUGAAGUGAGUAUGUGAAGUGUAAUUAUUAGAUCAAUCAAUGCGAUCAUUGUUAUAGUUUAAAUGAAUUUGUAUUUUCAGCGACUAGCUGCGCCUCCUUCUCGGAUUGUGCAAUCCCUCAUAAACCAGAUUGAGCUGCUCAUGUUUUUGCCCAAUUUCAGCACGUGCAAUUAAUGUCUCUAUAUGUCACCAAUGUAAUGUUUGUAUCACAUGUCCUCACUCCCCAUAGUCUGGGUCCUGUAUUUCACGCAUGUUAGCUAAUCUGACGUAACGGCGCAGUAAGGAGGCAGCUGGACUGGCAGCUUUCUGCUUGUCACUGUUGUGGAGGCGGAGUCAGUACCUCUGCCUGUCUGAAGGGGGCGUGUGUGAGCACACGGGAUCCUUCCGCUGUUGUUUUUCUUCACGUAUCACAGACUGAUAGCAUAGUUAGCAUGUGCUAACUUAAUCACAGAUUUUCAAUAAUAAUGAAGUUUGCUUUCAAAGAAGUUCAUGUACUCUAUGUAAAGGUGUGUGCAUAUGAAGCUGUUCAAGUCCAGUUCCAGGCCUUCUCCAACCUCCAUCAUAUUGCAGUGCAUGCGGUUCUCCUGCUGUCACUGCUUCCUUCCCUACGUCUCACUCUUGUCUAUUCACGCCUCACUGUUUAUCUUUUACAAUAUCUUUGCUUAUUCUACCCAGUAUCUUUGCCCCCCAACUCCCCAUCAACCCUUCCUUUUGUAUUUAUUGCUGUAUUUAUUUCUGCUGAAAAGCCAGUCUAGUUCAUUUGCUAGUCGACCAGGCAGAGUAGGGCUCCUAUUCUUAGGCUUUUAUUAACAUCAUGGACUGCACAACAGCUACAGAAUCUAUUAUUCAUUAAGUGUAACCAAUAUAAAAUUUAAAACAGUCUGGGCUCUUUUUUUGGUGGAAAUAUGUAAGGUCAGCAUAAUUUUCUGCCUAUUACUAAUAUCUAUAUCAUCUUUUCCUUAGUCAGCUCCAUUUAAAUAUGCAAUCAUUUACAGCUUUUGACUAUAUGUGUGUGCACACCCAAUAUCCAAUAUUCCUCUACUAGACUUUUUAUGCUGACAUCAAUGGCAAGCUAUUAAAGACAGUAUUUCAUUAUUGGUUCUUCUUCCCCAGUGGUUAUUUACAAUCCCAUAUAUACUAAGCACUGAUAUUAAAGGAGACCAUUUUAAUGAGGUGCUAUCUGCCAUGGCAAUAUGUCUUUCUCCGAAUGAGAUUGUGUUUAAAGAUUUUAUCAAGAAAUGGCUGUUCGGCAGGGUUAUGUUUUGUCCAUGAAAUAUGCAUUUCAUAUCUCUUUCAUUUCAUUAACAUAAUUUAAUUUGUGCUUUGCAUUCUGUGCAUAAUACAUAUUUGAUUUACAAAACAAAUAUUUCCAUUAGAAAAUGAAUUUCAUGCGCGCAAAAGGCAGAACUGAAAGAUGUAUUGUAAAGAAGUAAGAGGAGAAAAGAAAACGAAUUGUAUUAUCUUUGACUCAGGGAAAAGAAGAAAUCAUUGGCAAGUAAAAAUACUCUCAAUAGAUUUCUUAUGUGUGUAUGCGUGGGGGGACACUCUGUUAUAUGUGCAUGUUUGUAUAGACAGUAUGUAAAUGGGAAAUAAAAGUCGUUGGUAUAUUGCAUGGAGUCUAGAGCCAUAUAACACAGAUUGAUUUACAUGACCUGCAUAGGGUUUCCCUCCCUGAUGUUAAGUUCACUCAUCAGAGUCACAUGACUUGUUUUGAAUCUUGAUUUUGUGUCCCUCCUUUUGAGAGUGAGACCUGUCUUAAGUGGGCAUUCUGUGGGGAGAAUCGUUGUGUGGGACGCGCACAUCAAGAGGCUUUAAUUUUUCCCAUCUCCAAGGUUUGUGCUCCAUGCAUAGGGCCAUCUUCUAUGCUUCCAGUUAAGAGCUGUUUAGCUCCUCUUCCUUGAGC
ensembl:lncRNA